rnacentral:tRNA from 1 species
GGAGAGGUGGCCGAGUGGUUGAAGGCGGCACCCUGCUAAGGUGUUGUACCCCUACCGGGGUACCGCGGGUUCGAAUCCCGCCCUCUCCG